AGCUUUGCGCAGUGGCAGUAUCGUAGCCAAUGAGGUUUAUCCGAGGCGCGAUUAUUGCUAAUUGAAAACUUUUCAUUCAAGUGUUUUUGCAUAGAGCAAUAGUUUGUUCUUUUUAUUGUUGUAUAGUAUUCCCUGAUAU